rnacentral:pre_miRNA from 1 species
UCACCUCUGCAGGUUGCGGGCCCCCAGGCUGGGCUGGGCAAGUGUCUCUUUGAAAGCCUCAGCCUCAAGCACGACUAGGAGC